GGCUGGAUGGGUGUGCAAAGGGCCAGAGUUCAUGCAGGGCUGGGUGUGCACGGGGCUCGCAUGGCUGGAAGGCCGUGCACGAGGACAGGCGUGCACAAGGGUGGGUGUGGGCAAGGACGGGUGUGCCCGAGGACGGGCGUGCCCGAGGCUGGGUCUGACGCAGCCGGUCCCUUGCACGCCAGGAUCGCUUUGCACGGCUCUGGCACGCCGCCUCAGGGCACCCAAAGUGCCGGGGGGGGGGGGAGAACGACAGCGCACGCAUGCUUUGCACGGGGAGGUGUACGCGUGCGUACGCGUGUGCCCCCGUGUGUGCCCCCGC